CUCAAUUCCAGUCAUUGAGUCUUCUCUGAGGAAUAGAUACUAAAUCCAGACCCAGAGGAUGUUUGAGUCUUAAAUAGGCAAAGGGAGAGAGCUGGGAAAUUGUAAAGGACUUGAACCAGCAAAAUCUCAUUACCUUUAAGGCAGAGAAAAAUAGGUCAUUGUGGCUACAGAAAAAUGAGCAGGAGGGUGGUAGCACAAUAUGAGAUCAGAAAGACUAGCAGGAGCCAGGUUAUGCAAAAGCCUGCCUUGAACUUUAUAUUAAGGGCCAAGAGAUUUCAGAAAAGUCUUCUAGGCAAGGAAAUGAGUUGAUGAAGUUGUGAGAAGGGAAAUGCUGUUCUUUAUCAUAAUCCUCAGUAAAAAGAGGUAAACAAAUGAAACUAACAAGGCUGUUUCCUUGCUGAAGGAAAACUAAACUGUAAAUCACAGAUAUCUGUUCAUGGGUGAAAAUCUGGGGAAAGCAAUUGAGUAUAGACUGGUGGUUUAGAGAAGAAGUGUGGCGAGGGUCAAAGAGAGGGUAGGCUACCUUGGACUCCAGGCGACUUUUGUGAAAACACACAUCUUCAGUAAAACUACAAAAAUGAGAAUAAGUUUAAUGGGACUAGAUUUCCUUUGAAAGGUGCAAGAUGUAGAUUCCACCAAGUUCACUGAAGAGAUGGAAUACAAAUUGCUCACAAAGAUCCAUGAGCAGAAAAGGAAGGAAGCAUGAAGAAAUCAGGUCCGUAAUUACAACAGCUACCAUUUAGUCAAGAGUUUCUAUGUGACAGGCUGUGCUGAGCUACUUACUUGCAUAUCUGCAUCUUAUCCACACAGAAAUUGUGGGCCAUAGUGUAGUUAUCUUCACUAAUCAGAAACAGAGAGAAAGUUUAAUUUGCAGAGGUUGCACAUAUAUAUGUGGCAAAACUGGUUUGAAUACAGGCAACCUAACUUUGGAGCUCAGCUUUUAAGCAGUAUAGUAAAUUCACCGUGAUUAUGUAGAGGGCAUUUGAGUCAUGCAUAUUUCAAAGUUUUCAGUAACAUCUAGAUCUUCAAAAAUAGAGAAUCCCCUAAAGAAUAUUCCAUAUACUUUUUCAUUCAUCCAGCACAUAUUAACUGUCUAUUAUAUGUUCGGUGUUGUCCUAGGCACUAGGGACAAAAUGGUGAGCACCAGCAUAGUUCUUCUCAAGAGGCUGGCAAUAUUUAUGAAGAGUUUGGUUGGAUUGGGGCUGGAAAAAGACAUUAAUCAAAUAUGA
rnacentral:lncRNA from 13 species